UCUCUCACAAAGUGGGUGUGGUAUGUCAUUUUAAUCUCCAUAUCACAGCCAGCUUUGAUGAGCGGAG
rnacentral:pre_miRNA from 1 species